rnacentral:rRNA from 1 species
UACGUAGGGUGCAAGCGUUGUCCGGAAUUAUUGGGCGUAAAGAGCUCGUAGGCGGUUUGUCACGUCUGCUGUGAAAACUCGGGGCUUAACUCCGGGCCUGCAGCCGAUACGGGCAGACUAGAGUUCGGCAGGGGAGACUGGAAUUCCUGGUGUAGCGGUGAAAUGCGCAGAUAUCAGGAGGAACACCGGUGGCGAAGGCGGGUCUCUGGGCCGAUACUGACGCUGAGGAGCGAAAGCGUGGGGAGCGAACAGG